rnacentral:rRNA from 12 species
UGACUGGGGUGAAGUCGUAACAAGGUAGCCGUACUGGAAGGUGCGGCUGGAUCACCUCCUU